GGAACUCUCUUCAAAGGUAUCCCUCCCCUGUGCAUGGAGAGACGCACCUGUAUGCCGCCCGGUGCCUCUGCAGAGCAACUGCAGCCAGCUGAAGCCGGGCCUCCACCACAAUCUCCAGCUCGCCAGCGGAGCACUGAGACAGGGUCUUCUGUUCCACCUCGGACAGAAGGAAGUUUAGCCUGUCCUCAGCUUCCAUCAGUAACAUCGACUAAGGAAAGGAUACCAUACAUCACAAUUCACCCCAAGUUCAAUUGCUCUUGAAGUCCCAUGGAUAUAUGUGAAGGCUUAUAGACCAUCAAUAUUUCAAAUGGCCCAACCACGAUCCAUCCAGAGAAAGAUGUGGAGAGGACAGUUUUGCCUAACACUGGAACAGCUCCUGACCUCAAAUCAAACCUGAAGCUCAGCUCCUGCAACUGUAGCCUUCCCUGCCAAAGGAAGAUGGAGUGGAAGGGAGAUUGGGAUCCCCAUUAGUUAGCAAACUAUUUCCCAUAGCUCCACAGCUCUGGGUCACAUAGCAAAUUUUAUAUUCCACAGAAGUCCCCUUAGCCACUGGGCUUCUUCUGGAGAAGGUUAAUGUAAUACAAAAUGGAAACUGUUUACUUCUUGCAAUUUCACCUGGGGAACCUCUAAUUGUCAGUCAACUGGCAGCUGCUAAUAGCAACAGCUUUUUAAAAGGAUUAGAACUGGUCUUAAAUGAUUUCAAACAUAAUACAAUACAUUUUUCUAUAACUAUGCCCUACAAACAUAACACGAUACCUUUUUCCACAAUUAAUGCAGCACAAAACAUUAAAAGUUGGCGAUUACCUUUGAGAUUUAGUUUCUUUUCUUUAGUAAGAAAUAAAAACACACCAUUUUAUUGCUGCCAAUUGCUCAAUUAUUCAGAAAAACAUUCUCAAUUUCUUCAGCUUUAGAGAAAAAAAAAACCUCAUUUCUUUUCCAGCACAGUGAUAUGUAUUAUAUACGAAUAUGACUAGGCAGCUAAAGGUUACCCAGGGGAUAGAACUAUUUCUUCAACCCAGAAAUGAAUCCCUUUAACAGUGAGAGGGGCACCAUUUUGUUAUUUUUAAAAAAUAAACAAUAUCUCACCAAGU
rnacentral:lncRNA from 1 species